rnacentral:rRNA from 1 species
UACGGAGGGUGCAAGCGUUAUCCGGAUUCACUGGGUUUAAAGGGUGCGUAGGUGGGUUGGUAAGUCAGUGGUGAAAUCUCCGUGCUUAACAUGGAAACUGCCAUUGAUACUACUGAUCUUGAAUUUUCAGGAGGUAAGCGGAAUAUGUCAUGUAGCGGUGAAAUGCUUAGAUAUGACAUAGAACACCAAAUGCGAAGGCAGCUUACUACAGGAAUAUUGACACUGAUGCACGAAAGCGUGGGGAUCAAACAGG